UGUACACGAAACUUCAUUGUAUGUAUGAGAAGCAUGAUGCCUGUCUCAUGUAUUUAUGUGUUUAUAUUAUGUGUUAGUGAUUUAAUGUGCGUGUUUGCGGGAAUCACGCUCACGGGCGCACUUACACAGAAGCAAAGGUGACGACAAAGCGUGUACUCUUAAUCUCACGAAUAAUUAUCAAUCCUGAGAGAGAGAGAAAAAAAUCUAGUAGACUCAGCCCCUUAUUAUCCCAGAGACCGCGUAAAGACGGUACGGUGCAAAAGGAGAAAACGCAAACAGUGAAUGCAGUCGCUUUUGCACAUUUCUCUGCAUUGUGUCGCUCAGUCAGAGGAAUUUAAGGAGGUUUAAUUGCCUAAAACAAUCAUCUCGUCCACAUGACGGUCACACUGCAAGUGCUCAAGUUGAUACAUCGAAAUGUAACAGAUGACUGGAGAUGGACUGCCCCUGGACUAGGGCCAUGCUGGAUAAACCUGAAAGCAGUAGGCAGGGAUGAACUACAGGGGUAUACGCAACACUUCUCUAAAGUAAAGAAAAAAACGUUGUGAGCAUCUGGGACGAUUUUUUUUGGAAGACAGACGAUCAUAACAGUUAGACCGUAUACUCUUAAGAACUGCCAAAAAAACAGAGGAUCUGACCAAAACACAACUGCGCAGGAUUGUCUACAAACAGUAAUGUAACGACAGUAACAGAGUAAUAGAAAAUAAGCUUUCACUCAUCAUUGGUCACAAGGAUGCAUGGAUCUGAAUGCAUGGCACGUUACAUGUAGGAACAUUAAUGCUCAUCUUCUAUUCAUACUUACUUUAAACAGAAGUAACUGAAGAAAUAUAUUUUAAGGAAAACUUUUUCAAAGUGAUUGCAAGAGCAGACGUACAAGUUCCCUGUACCUACAGCUGGCCAGGACAUGGAAGACAAAUUAGUUUUAUAGCCACGACUGGGUUCAGAUUGUCAGCAGAAAACCCUACUGACAUUUUUGAAAAAUCUUAAGAGGAACAAAAGAGGGACAUCCGAACACCUUCGGAAAUGUGGAGCUCACCCUUUUCCCCAAGUUCAAAGGCACAGGAGCUCAGAGGGCUGGAUUUGUUCAAGCAUAUUUGGUAAACCCCUGGAUUUGAAUUGUAGUGUGCAAGGCCAGAAGAUCAUGUUUAAAAAAUAUUAUAUUGUAAAAUUUUGCGUGAAAUCCCCAUAAUAAAUUCACCAAGU